GCACCAGAAAAAUCUGGUGUCAGGAUUGAGACCCUGAAUCAGUUAUCGGCGACACAUGACGCGCCAAGCGUCUUUUUU
rnacentral:sRNA from 1 species